rnacentral:lncRNA from 1 species
ACCUUACCCCCAACCCCGUGCUCUCUGAAACAUGUGCUGUGUCCACUCAGGGUUAAAUGGAUUAAGGGCGGUACAAGAUGUGCUUUGUUAAACAGAUGCUUGAAGGCAGCAUGCUGGUUAAGAGUCAUCACCACUCCCUAAUCUCAAGUACCCAGGGACACAAACACUGCGGAAGGCCGCAGGGUCCUCUGCCUAGGAAAACCAGAGACCUUUGUUCACUUGUUUAUCUGCUGACCUUCCCUCCACUAAUGUCCUAUGACCCUGCCAAAUCCCCCUCUCCAAGAAACACCCAAGAAUGAUCAAUAAAUACUUAAAAAAAAAAAAAAAAGUAUUCUGGACAAUUCGCCAGUCAGUUGUUAGACUGUUGGUAGCUUGGCCCAGCCACGGUGCAAUAUUUACACCAUGAGCAUUGGCAAUGGCUACGGCUCAGAGCUCUGAAUUUUUCUGGAGAGCUGGUUUGUCACCUCACCAGGCGCUCAC